AUUGAACGCUGGCGGCAUGCCUUACACAUGCAAGUCGAACGGCAGCACGGGUGCUUGCACCUGGUGGCGAGUGGCGAACGGGUGAGUAAUACAUCGGAACGUACCUUAUCGUGGGGGAUAACGCAGCGAAAGCUGUGCUAAUACCGCAUACGCCCUGAGGGGGAAAGCGGGGGAUCGCAAGACCUCGCGCGAUUAGAGCGGCCGAUGCCUGAUUAGCUUGUUGGUGGGGUAAAAGCCCACCAAGGCGACGAUCAGUAGCUGGUCUGAGAGGACGAUCAGCCACACUGGGACUGAGACACGGCCCAGACUCCUACGGGGGGCAGCAGUGGGGAAUUUUGGACAAUGGGGGCAACCCUGAUCCAGCAAUGCCGCGUGAGUGAAGAAGGCCUUCGGGCUGUAUAGCUCUUUUGUCAGGGAAGAAACACCGGCUCUAACACAGUCUGGGAAUGACGGUACCUGAAGAAUAAGCACCGGCUAACUACGUGCCAGCAGCCGCCGUAA
rnacentral:rRNA from 1 species